ACACUCCGGUUUGCGGUUGUUCCCCCGAGCUUUGUCGAGGCUCAGGCACCGUGGUGGGGCGAGGCCCACGAGCGCCUUCUCUGGCCCUACAUCCAGGUCCGUAAAAUGCGAAGUAGCCUGUGGCUGUUUGUGAGGCAAACUUACUGAACCAGUACUGGUGAAACUGCACCACUAUGAAUAUUUCGAGGACUUGCUGAUUCAUGUUUGCAUCUCUAAUGCCUACUGAAAUCUGAGUACUUGUUCAUUCAUUCAUUCAAGAAUUAUUCGUUGAUAGCCUGUAAUAUACCAGGAGAACACUGUGGCAUAGCUGUGCACAUCAGGCCAAUUUCCAGAUUUCAGGGACUUUUACUUUUUCUGAUGGUAAGUCUCAUGAA